rnacentral:rRNA from 1 species
UGGGGGGGAACACACCUUUGUGCGAGUUGGAUUAAUAUUGCAAGUCAAGCGGAAGAAGGGAUCUUGCUCCUGGAUGAUAAGGGAGGGGGGGUGAGUAACACGUGGGUAACCUGCCUGUUCAAAUGGGAUAACUCCGGGAAACCGGAGCUAAUACCGGAUAGUUCCUUGAACCGCAUGGUUCAAGGAUGAAAGACGGUUUCGGCUGUCACUUACAAAUGGACCCGCGGCGCAUUAACUAGUUGGUGGGGUAAUGGCUCACCCAGGCGACGAUGCGUAGCCCACCUGACAGGGUGAUCGGCCACCCUGGGACUGAAACACGGCCCAAACUCCUACGGGAGGCAGCAAUAGGGAAUCUUCCGCAAUGGACGAAAGUCUGACGGAGCAACCCCCCGUGAGUGAUGAAGGUUUUCGGAUCGUAAAGCUCUGUUUUUAGGGAAAAACAAAUGCCAGAGUAACUGCUCGCACCUUGACGGUACCUAACCAAAAAGCCCCGGCUAACUACUUGCCACCAGCCC